UAGCGCCUGGACCAGAAUAGGCUGGUUGACGAGGAUGGCAGUUAUCGAAACAUUCGGCGGGUGCUGCCACGGCCACGAGGGCGAGUCGUAAUAGGGGGAGCAAAAAGCGGGGCUGUCCCCGCAACAGAG
rnacentral:ncRNA from 1 species